AAUGAACGCUGGCGGCAUGCCUAACACAUGCAAGUCGAACGAAGUGGCGCACGGGUGCGUAACGCGGGGGAAUCUGCCCUUGGUUCGGAAUAACAGUUAGAAAUGACUGCUAAUACCGGAUGCCUAGGGAUGAGCCCGCGUAGGAUUAGCUAGUUGGUGUGGUAAGAGCGCACCAAGGCGACGAUCCUUAGCUGGUCUGAUAGGAUGAUCAGCCACACUGGGACUGAGACACGGUCCAGACUCCUACGGGAGGGAGCAGUGGGGAAUAUUGGACAAUGGGCGAAAGCCUGAUCCAGCAAUGCCGCGUGAGUGAUGAAGGCCUUAGGGUUGUAAAGCUCUUUUACCCGGGAUGCAGUACCGGGAGAAUAAGCUCCGGCUAACUACGUGCCAGCAGCCGCGGUAAUUC
rnacentral:rRNA from 1 species